rnacentral:rRNA from 1 species
UCUGUUGUUAGGGAAGAACAAGUACCGUUCGAAUAGGGCGGUACCUUGACGGUACCUAACCAGAAAGCCACGGCUAACUACGUGCCAGCAGCCGCGGUAAUACGUAGGUGGCAAGCGUUGUCCGGAAUUAUUGGGCGUAAAGCGCGCGCAGGCGGUUUCUUAAGUCUGAUGUGAAAGCCCCCGGCUCAACCGGGGAGGGUCAUUGGAAACUGGGGAACUUGAGUGCAGAAGAGGAGAGUGGAAUUCCACGUGUAGCGGNGAAAUGCGUAGAGAUGUGGAGGAACACCAGUGGCGAAGGCGACUCUCUGGUCUGUAACUGACGCUGAGGCGC